CACGGGGGGAGCAAGCGUUGUUCGGAAUCACUGGGCGUAAAGGGCGUGUAGGCGGUUCGGUAAGUGGGAUGUGAAAUCCCUCGGCUCACCCGAGGACCUGCAUCUCAUACUGUCGAGCUAGAGUACGGGAGAGGAUGGAGGAAUUCCUGGUGUAGCGGUGAAAUGCGUAGAUAUCAGGAGGAACACCGGUGGCGAAGGCGUCCAUCUGGCCCGAUACUGACGCUGAGGCGCGAAAGCUAGGGGAGCAAACGGG
rnacentral:rRNA from 1 species